rnacentral:sRNA from 1 species
AACUAGUUCUGUAGUAAAGUGUGGGUUUAAAGUCUUGAUAAAAGUUGGAGCCACUAAAGUUGGUAUUCAACCCCCCACUGCUAAAUUUGACUGGCUUUAA